rnacentral:misc_RNA from 1 species
GUUCUAGCUUUUGAUGAUUUGAAAGAUGAAUGUGGCUGAAUCCACACUCUAAUUUGAGUGAUUUCAGCCGAAUGGUUCCACUUUACUGUUGGUUAGAUAAGCAUGUCAGAUGUAAUUAUCCGAGACUAGUUCAUUAGUAACUCAUAAAGUGGCAGAUCCUUGAAGAAGUUAUGGAAAAUCUUGUAAUAUAACUCCGAUAAUAAUUGACAUAUGAAGCCUCAACUGCAAGCCUUACUUGUAGUGAAAACCAAGCCAAAGCUUUUCACAAGUACAAAUAAGAUAAAAGAGUAUCCAAUAAUAAAGGGACAAAGUGUCUAACAUCAGACAUGGAACUAUUUACAAUGUAAAAAUAAAAGUGACAAGAAUUUAGAGGUACAAAUAAUAGAAUAAGAAGUUUCACAAGCAUUAAAACACAUGUAUUGGCCAUUUAUUACAUUAAAUACAAAUAUUGUUACAUUCAGCAGUUGGCAU